AACCGCGCCGUCGUCGACGUCGCUCUGUGGUUUGCGUUCAUUUCUACCUUUAAACCGAUUCCUUUAGGUUUUUUUUUCUUUUUUCUUUUACAGGUACUUUGUCAAGAGUAACAAACGAUAUCUGGGAGACGCUGAUGGACGCUGCGUCUAGUCAACGACCGUAGGUUGUGCACGGCUGCCGGAGCACCUUCGGGAAACGCUAACCGCCGGUCCCCGGAGCGCGAGUACAGUUCAAUCUUUACCCAAAUGCGCCACUUAGCGCUAAUCAAUCUCGAAAAAAAAAGAGAAAAAGAAAGAUUCAAGCCUGCACAGCAGUGACUGGAGAUACAGCAACCUUGUAUGAAAAGUGCCGAUAAGACAGUGCAGCCAACAGAAGGUUGCAUCUCUGCGCCCACGGUCCUGCUCGACAGUGGCUGAGACGUGCAACACAGUUGCGCCCAACUUCCCUCUAUGCUACAAGCACCACAGGAGCUACUAUCGCCCAAAGAUGUCACAGGUGGUCAUGAUUCUUUGAGGCAGCGGAAUUUCACCGCAGUGCAUCUUUAACACCUUCAGUUUCUUUUCUACUGCAAGCCUGGUACUACAGCUUGUGGCCCGUGUAAAAGAAUAGAGGGGUGAAACCAAGGCUCAAGUGACUGUGGACUCAUGGCCCUCAGACAGCUAGAGCACCAGACCAGGCACAGACCAGAGCCAUUUAUGCUCCACUUCUAGAGGACAUGUUGCAGUUUGAAACUACCAAGACUCAUGGAAGCUGCUGACAGGAGGCUGUUGAAGCCGUGGUCGCAAGGCACCCAUGACAUUGAAGUCUUCCAAACAAGGCACUAUGAAGGCAUGACUUGUAGCGGCACUGGAGCAAGCGACACGGUCCGGGUGAGCCGCAAGUGUAACUGUUACACUGUAAACAGGAAAUAUAGACAUGUGUCUGACAAAGCACAGACUCAUAAAACUUUCAUGUAGCAAUAAUAGUUUAAUUUAACUAAACAGUGCAUCAACAGAGCCUGACCCAAGAAUGGGGAAUUGGGGAACCGGCCAAUGUGUAGAGUCUAACAGAAACAAGGAAGGCGAUAAAAACAAAUGGGGCAACAUGUUAAGAUAGGACAAUAAUGUCGUGCCUAUUUUUUGUUUUCAAUUAAGAUUUUAUAGGAGCUAGCAAAAUAUGUCCUUGCAAUGGAAUAGACCUACUUUUACAAAAAGACCUUUAAUGUUUUUGUUAAAAUAAAUUGCGUCUGAGGAGGUGGAAAUAUGAUUUUCCCAAUUGCGCAUUAACAUAUCUUCGAGCUCCACAGGGUAAU